CGGGAGGCGGAGCGGCGAACGAGGCCGUCGGCCAUUUUGUGUCUGCUUCCUGUGGGACGCGGUGGUAGCCGUUGGGUCGGGAAAGUGAGGGAUUUUCGCCUUGUUUCUCCUGCUUCUUUUCUCCUCCCUUUUACUUUGUCGGUAGAAUACAGUUAUGGGUCGCAAGAAGAAGAAGCAGCUGAAGCCGUGGUGCUGGUAUUGUAAUAGAGAUUUUGAUGAUGAGAAGAUCCUUAUACAGCACCAAAAAGCAAAGCAUUUUAAAUGCCAUAUAUGUCACAAGAAAUUAUAUACAGGACCUGGCUUAGCUAUUCAUUGCAUGCAGGUACAUAAAGAAACAAUAGAUGCCGUACCGAAUGCAAUACCUGGAAGAACAGACAUAGAAUUGGAAAUAUAUGGUAUGGAAGGUAUUCCAGAAAAAGACAUGGAUGAAAGACGACGACUUCUUGAGCAGAAAACACAAGAAAGUCAAAAAAAGAAGCAACAAGAUGAUUCUGAUGAAUACGAUGAUGAUGACUCUGCAGCCUCAACUUCAUUUCAGCCACAGCCUGUUCAACCUCAACAAGGUUAUAUUCCCCCAAUGGCACAGCCAGGACUGCCACCAGUACCAGGAGCACCAGGAAUGCCUCCAGGCAUACCUCCAUUAAUGCCAGGUGUUCCUCCUCUGAUGCCAGGAAUGCCACCAGUUAUGCCAGGCAUGCCACCUGGAUUGCAUCAUCAGAGAAAAUACACCCAGUCAUUUUGCGGUGAAAACAUAAUGAUGCCAAUGGGUGGAAUGAUGCCACCUGGACCAGGAAUACCACCUCUGAUGCCUGGAAUGCCACCAGGUAUGCCCCCACCUGUUCCACGUCCUGGAAUUCCUCCAAUGACCCAAGCACAGGCUGUUUCAGCGCCAGGUAUUCUUAAUAGACCACCUGCACCAACAGCAACUGUACCUGCUCCGCAGCCUCCAGUUACUAAGCCUCUUUUCCCCAGUGCUGGGCAGAUGGGGACACCUGUCACAAGCUCAAGUACAGCUUCAUCCAAUUCAGAAAGUCUGUCUGCAUCUUCUAAAGCUCUGUUUCCUAGCACAGCACAAGCUCAGGCAGCUGUCCAAGGACCUGUUGGUACAGAUUUCAAACCCUUAAAUAGUACCCCUGCAACAACUACAGAACCCCCAAAGCCUACAUUCCCUGCUUAUACACAGUCUACAGCUUCAACCACUAGUACAACAAAUAGUACUGCAGCUAAACCAGCAGCUUCAAUAACAAGUAAGCCUGCUACACUCACAACAACUAGUGCAACCAGUAAGUUGAUCCAUCCAGAUGAGGAUAUAUCCCUGGAAGAGAGAAGGGCACAGUUACCUAAAUAUCAACGUAAUCUUCCUCGGCCAGGACAGGCCCCCAUCGGUAAUCCACCAGUUGGACCAAUUGGAGGUAUGAUGCCACCACAGCCAGGCAUCCCACAGCAACAAGGAAUGAGACCCCCAAUGCCACCUCAUGGUCAAUAUGGUGGUCAUCAUCAAGGCAUGCCAGGAUACCUUCCUGGUGCUAUGCCCCCGUAUGGGCAGGGACCACCAAUGGUGCCCCCUUACCAGGGUGGGCCUCCUCGACCUCCGAUGGGAAUGAGACCUCCUGUAAUGUCGCAAGGUGGCCGUUACUGAUCUUACUUCAUCCAGUCUAAUAGCCCUGCCAUAGGACAGGCUGAGGCUGAGUCUCAGUGUUGCCCUGUUCAGUCUGAGCAGCAGAAUUUCAGCAUUUGCUACUUACUGGUAGAGAAGAAAAAUCCCACAGCCCUGCCAGUACAGGUUAGUUUAAUCUGUAAGUACCUGAUGUUCCUAUUUUUUUCAAACAUAUCCAUAUAACUCACACAAGGAAGAAAGCUGUGCGGUUACUUAAAUGUGAGUACAACUAAUAAUAGAUCCAUUGGACACUUUAAACACUCAGUACUUGGGCCAAAGUAGAUCUAGGUUUGCUAACCCCAGUUGUAAUAAAGGUGUAAUACUGCUCCUUUGUUAUCUCCUUGUGGUUCAACCUAAGUAGAUACAUUGUACAUAAAAGGAAAAGACAGUUUGAGUUGGCUGUGCCCUUGUUGAUAGAUGAGAUAGAGUCCAGGGCUUUGGGUCCAGGGUCUUUUACUUAAGCUAUUUCAUGGUGAUUCUCUCAUUCACCUUUUAACUUUUUACAGUAUGAAUCAACCUAAGAAAAAAGGCAAGUUUCCUCACAUCUAGAAAUGAUAAAUGGUGUACAGUCAUAAGCUAGAAUGUUUUUAUAAUGCUUUUUUGUUCUUUUAGCAACACUUGUAGAUACAAGUACUCCUUUUUUUUCUUUUUUUGUAAACUAUAACGUAUCCUGUUGGUGUAGCAGUGAGUUCAUUUUACUGUGAACUAAGAAUAACAUACAUACCUUUUUGAUAUUGAAAGCUGACUACCCAUCAAGAAAUGUAGCUAGAUUCUUCAUGUAACACUUUUGAGGGGCAGUGGGGACAUAAUGGGUUGUGGAAGAUGUGUUUAACAUUUUUAUUUUUAUUUUUUUUUCAUUCUACCCAAGUUCAUUGUUGUUUGAACCAUCCUUUAACCUUUAAAUGUUGUGCUUUUAGGUUGAUACAAAUGUAAAGCACUGAGGAGGGAGGAAUAAAGCAUACAAGUUAAUUUCUAAUUUUUGCAAGCCUGAACCAUCCUAAUCUGAUGGUAGGAUGUAUGGCUUCUUCCUUUUCACCUUGUGUGAUACCUAAUUUGAGACGAUCUAGCCAUAAAACUAGUUAAUCUUGAAUUCCUCUUGAACUGGAUGGUGAUUAGCCAUUGUGAUAACAGAUUAUCUUUAUAUGGAAAUUGUGCGUAUUGUUAAAUUUUAAGACAUGGAUUUAUCAACUAAUAAUAAAAUAUAUCUUAUAAGAUAUCCACUUGUUUUUUAAUGUAAAAUUGCACAAGGGCUUAAGUUUCGUUGCCUUUCACAGUUUAAUUUGUAUAUGAAAUGGUGUAGAUACAGUGGAAAUGGUUUUCCUUAAAACCAUCUCUUUAAAGCUGCCUUUCUGGUGAGUACUAUUUUAUACUUUUAUAUAUUAUAAUUUAACCUUCUAAAAUUAACUGAACUAGGACACUUUGAUUAAAGAGGGAAGCAAUCUGAAUUUCUACAUCUCUUUGGAUAUUACUUGAAUCAAUAUUAGAAAAUUAUUAUUUUACCACCUGGCAUUUCCCUUUUAAUGCUUUUUUAAGAAAAAAGUUCACCUUUUUCUGACCUUCACUUAACAGACUACAAAUACAAAAACUUUUAACACAUAAAUUAUUUCAUUUUCAUGAGAUGGAAUAAAUGUUUAAAACUAGUAUUUAAGAAAGUUCUUAAACAUUUUCUUUUUAGUUGGCAGCCAAAAGAUUUUUGUCAGUGCUUCGGAGACAUUGCAUAGGUGUAAAGUUAAGAUACCAGAACUUCAUUCUGUUCUUGUUGGAGCUCUUGUUGCAGUGAUUCAUGAGCAGUAAGCUGGAGUUCGGGUGGAAGAGGGGUUUACCAAAAUCAGAAUUCUUCAUGCAGACCAGUUACUUACAGGGUUUCCUUGAGAGGCUUAAAAAUUUCAAAAGUAUUAUUUAAGCCACUCUAACCCUGCGUGAAAAAUUGGAGUUAGAAAUACUGAUUUCUGAGACCACGUAUACCAGUGAAAGUUAGCUUCUGAGUAUGUUUUUAAUUACUUUAUGCCCUGCUUUAUUUAGCCUCGGUAUAUGUAACACACGGAUUAUUUUUUCCCUCUAGUUUUUAACUGUUCCUACAUAAAAACCAGCAUAUGCUAAGAAUGUUUUUACAUUCUGUUUCCUCCUGUGAUCUUUGGGAACUAGUAAUGAACAAUCAACUCUGAUGCUUUUUAGUAUGAACAAUGAUAGUUUUCUGAAAUUUGAAAAUCGGUAUCUGAGUAUGUGAUGUGGCAAUGCAUUCUUUUAGAUAAGCACUAAACAAAGUAUGGACCCUCCAUUUGUGUCUUUAAGAUUUAAAGUGAAGUAAAUUUCUAAGGAACUGUGUCCUUUCCUAGCAGGAAUAAACAGACAGUGAAAAUUUGGUAAGUAUGUAACUUUAAGUGCAUGUAAUAGUGAUGAGAGUAAGUAGCCAAAUUUUGAUAGCAUAAGAUAAUGUUUAAAAGUGAGCAAUAAUUAUUGCAUCUCUUGUGACAAUGUAUAUAUGUGUUUAACAUUUUUUACAAAUUUGUGUACAUAAAGAUUAAAUUGGAACAUACCUUACUCUUUGUCUGUUUUUUUUUUAUUUUGUAUGGUGCUUUAAAUACUAAUUUUAUAUUUCAAGCUUUUUGCAGGGUAGAAAUAAGUGACUGUUAAAGAAAAUACCUUCAAGAGGAAUUAUUUCAGUAUCCCUUUUUAAAACUCGAUGAUGGCUUUCAGUUUACUUAAGUCUUCUGUUUUUCAGCUCCAGUUAAAACUGACAAUAGGCAGCUAUCAAAAAUGGAAAAAAUCUUGUGCUCUUUCUGGAAUAUUAAAGGAAUCAGUAACAGUAAAGUGAUAUUAACCCACUACUUGAUUUGCAGUUUUUAAAGCAGUUUUUAAAUUGAGAGAAAAGGGGCCGGGCCCUGGCUGAGUUGGGUGGAUUGCCUGAGGUUAGGAGUUUUUGAGACAAGACUGGUCAACAUAGUGAAACCCCGUCUCCCCUAAAAAUACAAAAAUCAGCCGGGUGUGGUCUGACGUGCCUGUAACCCCAGCUACUCGGGAGGCUGAGGCAGGAGAAUCGCUUGAACCCAGGAGGAGGAGGUUGCAGUGAGCCAAGAUCGCGCCAUUGCACUCCAGCCUGGGUGACAGAGACUCCGCCUCAAAAAAAAAAAAAAAAGGUGAUGGAAUUUGGGAGUCUAUUCCCUGGGAUAUUGUAUUAAGAAUAAAGUGAUAAUGAAUGAAGGUUAAAGUGUUCAGUUGCUACAGCAGGAAAGAUUAUUUCUGAGGAAAAGGUCCAUUUGUUUCCAAACUAGUCUGUAGUGGUUUAGAGUAAGCAUUAUUUUAUGAAGUGGUACAAGAUCGCAAAGGUUAGUAAAAGGGCCAGGUCAGUCUUCAGGCUUCACUUUUACUGGUAAGGGAUUAUGUGAGGCAUAAGUCAUACAUGGGAUAUGAUUGUAAGGGGGUCUGAACAAAGCAUGAUAAAUGUUAGACCAUGUGGAUUAUUAAAUGGUCUAGUUGAAUAAAAAAUCAUGACUGAUAGGAUAAUUUUUAGUGUACGUAAACGAGCUCACUAAGGGUAAUUAAAUACUAGCUUUUAAAAUUUAAAGUUCUCACGAAUAAUAUUAGUGCAUCUUGUCACUUUGAUUUGUCACCUGGUUAAAUAGCUGGCAGCUUGUGCAAAUGAAAAAGGAAAUGGAAACCUACGUUUAUGUGUAUUAUCUGUAUAAUUUUUGUCUAAUAGUAAGUUCAGAGAGAGAGACGUUCCUUAAUAUGUAGCCAUGUAAUUAGAACUCACAAGGGGCAUUGAAAUGUUUUUCUUUUUCAGAUGGUCUGGGGCUAUUUACUUACUUUAAGUAAGCCAAGUCUACCAUUUGAAAAAUGGUGCUUUAUUUCCGUAUCUGAAGUCUGAAGUUAUUUUUUAGUUUUCAUCUAAAAGUGGAAAGAUUUUUGCUUCUGCCUUAUUAAAAGCCUCUUUGUUUGGAGAUGAUUAUCUCCUUCACUCAUUAACCUUUGAGUGCUUGUUAUCUACAAAGAUGAAUAAAAUCUUUCGUUUAUUAUUUA